AUGGCCGCCACCGCCGCGGCCAUCGUGACGGCGACGGCGGCGGCGUCGAGCUGCAGCAAGCGCGAGAGCGUCGGCAUUGCGGCGCCCGCCGACUUGUCAGUCUCCAGCUCCCUUCCUUCCUUCUCCUCACGGCACGGCGCUGGCCGUUCCAAGCCGUGCUGCUGCGUGUGGAGUUCUCUUCUCACGCUUUGGCUGCUGCCUGUUGUCGUGCGCAGGACGAAGAAGGCGAAGAAGGGGAGGUCGCCACCGGCGGAGGAGAUGGAGGCCUUCUUCGCCGCGGCGGAGGGCGACGUCGCGCGGCGCUUCGCUGCCAAGUACAACUAUAACGUCGUCACAGACGCUCCCAUGGAUGGGCGGUACGAGUGGGUCCGAGUGAGGCCGUAG
rnacentral:rRNA from 1 species